CCUCCCUCCUCGUCCUCGCUCGCGAGCGCCCUGUCCGCCAGAAUCCCCAUGCCACCAAGGAGAGAACACAGUAAGAGAGAGAGAGAGCAGGGAGAUCGCCGCCAUGGAACCCUGCCUGUGAAGCUUUCCGGACCAAAAGAACUGGCCUUAGAGGUUCGCGGGGUUCAUUGGGUUGGGGUCAGGGCCUCGCCGUGUGGAUUUGAAGCCUGUGAUGCUCAGGAUUACUCGGCGUCACCGCGUGCCGCUUGCUACCAUGGCUAACUCUCUGCGUCCACUCGAUCCGAUAAGAAGCCUCCCAGUUGAUAAGCCUGGUAGGAUCUAUGUGUUGGACUCGUUGUCACUUAGAAUCGAACGCCAAAACCUCGUUUAGAUGCAUUUCGGUGGGGCGGCGACGCCGUGGGGUGUCUCUGUGCCGCGGUGUCCAUGUGGCCAGAGGUAGAAGAAGUGUGGAUCGUUGAUCGUGGAUCUGGCGCUACAGAGUUGAUGGGAGAGCUGUUGGAUAAGGAGUGGAUGGGCUGGAUUAGGGGCAGCAUACCAUUAUGGAGAGUUUGGUACGAGCCCUCAACUGGUGAUCGGACGGUCGGCAUUCAACCAUACCCCUUCGGCCGAAGUGAUUAUGCAAAU
rnacentral:lncRNA from 7 species